CAUUUUAGCAUACAUGUUGACUCUGGCAGCAAUAUAUAUUCUGUACGUUGCCUAGCUCCAUUCCAACCUAUUCAUACAGGAGUGCUGUGCCUGCUUUGGAACUGCCUUGCGCUAUUUUCACAGAUUUCCUCCACUGGUCCUGAAAACUAACCACCAUGCAACGUGACAAGGUGAAAAGGAGAAAUCCCUCCAAGAUGAAAUGGGGUAGUAAAGGGAAGCAGGUAUAUCAGCUAUCCCAAGUGAAGGCCUCUCCAGAUGACUGCUGACACCACCAGGGCAAAACAGACAAGCAUCUCCUAGGACUGACACCAAUAUAACUGAUUCAGCCUUAUAAGUAAGAGGAAGAACUUAAAGACGUCUUCAGAUCCUUACCAGUAUUCUGAUGAUGUAAGCAAUCAAAUGCUGUUCAAAAGAAACUCAAGCAAUAGACAACAACCUGGAAUUUUCAAGAUAUAGUGUGAGAAAACACUGGAUGAGGCAAGCACAAGGUUUUUUCAAUGUUGUGGUAUCUGGGUUCCUUUUGGAUGUCCACAGGAAGUAAUGGUAAAGCAUUCACCAUUCAGGCAGAAGGAAUUAAUCUUACAGAGAAAUCCACUGGAUAAAAAAAAUGGUGGAGAAAAGUAAAUAAAUGUAUUGAGACAAAGAAAGCACCCAAUACAUGGUUAAAAUAAUUAAUCUCCAGUGUACCAUAUAAAGUAUAAACUCAGUAGGACAGAGGUCUGAAACAACUAUGUUUUAAAAUGUUUCUAACAUGCCAAAUUAUUCUACCUCUACUGGUCUCCCAAGAAAAAAAAAUACCUAGAUACAUUCAGUUAGUUGUUCUUUGACUGAGUAAUCAAGAUUCACUCACACUGUUCACUACAUCAGACCAGAUCUCAUCUAUGCAUCCAAAUGAAAUGACAAAAAUCAUGGGAUAUUUUCUUCUAGCUACUGAGAUUUGAAAGUCUACAAGAAGCAGCCGAUACAAACAAUUGCCCAUCAUUUGAUGGCUAGAAAGACUAUAUAAGACUACUAUAAAAUUUUGGGUGGAAAAAUCAAAAAACAAUCCUUGGAGCCUAAAUUCAGUUUGGUAGCUUAGCAUCUCAUCAGUUAUUUAAACCAGUACUGAGGUUGUGCUAACACACAGACAUUAUGAAUAAGGCAAUCUUGAGAUGACAUUCAGUUUCUCAGGCUCUGAGAGUAUCCCAGACAGUCAAAAUAUACAACAAACUCAGAGGUAAAUUUUCUAAUGGGCAUAAAAGGAAUUCAUGUCAUAGUACAGGCUUUCUCCAGUUCUGGUCACAGCUGCUGAUGAAUGUCAUCUUUUUCUUUUAGUGUCUAAAACAUGUAAGCGUUAAUGUGUGCAAAAAGAAUAAGGCCCUUUGGCCUCAGUCAAUGAACGUAAAAGGUUCCACGUCUUUAUUUAUGGGAGGCCACUGUUAGACAAAAUUGACCAUAAACUACUUACUGCUGUUGCCAAAAAAGAUCUGACAAACACUCCCACUGAGAACAGAAAGGGCUUUUUUUUUUCAUUUACAAAUAUAGGAUUUGCAAAUUGAACACAAACCUGGAAAGAUUUGUGGCUGUUGACUCACCCUCUAGAGCAUUUCAGCAAAACAAAGCAGCUGAACAAAGUCCAGAACUAAAUUAAAUACGUGUCAGUUUGAGGAAAAGGAAACUUGUACACAUCAACCACUACCUGUCCAAUCUCAGAUAAAAUACAAAUGGCAAUUGUCAGAGCUGCUGCUGAGGACUCAGGGAGUAAGGAAGGCUAUGAUCACAGUCCCAUUAUCAAUUUGAAGGACAGCAGCUGGCAGUAACUGUGGUUUUAUUUAAGGGCACAAGUGGCAAUUCCUAAAGGGAUAAUGUUUAAAAUUCUGAGAAAUAUAAGAAGUUUCUUCCCCGCUGAGGCAGAUAAAAAGAUCCAUUAACCUGUGUCUAACAGUGGUCACCAGUACAUGUUUAACAAAGAGUAGAUAUGCUCUGCCUUUAUGUUGUUGUCAAAUCUAGCGGAAAUCAUCAGUUCAGAGACUGCGGAGCCCAAGGCUGUAAGGAGACCAUCAUAUCUGAUUCCACUCAAUGAUUCUAUUCACUAUAAAUUUAGCCAUUUAACUUUCACAUCAUUUACACUUUCCAACUUUACACACUGAGUUCUAUUUGUUUGUUUGUUUUAAAGCUGACAAUUUAAAGUCUGAUAACUUCUUGGUACCCUCACCCUCUUGUGUUGUGAAGGACGCUGGAUAAUGGUUCCUUACAUAUCACGUUAUCAACUUCCAGCUUACCACAUCUUAUCAUAUCCCUCCUUGGUCACGUCCCUUUUCCUUGAUGAAGUGUAUUAGUCUAUUCAAUCCAUCUUACAACUCUGAUCAUCUUUGCUGCUCUUAUCUAUGCUUUUUUUAUUAUUAUUAUUCUAUUAGUUCCUUUCUGAUGUGGAAUAACAAGAAUGCCAUAUUGUAUUCAAGACAUGAAACACAUUAUUUAUACAGUGGCAUACCACUUUCAGUUCUGCUCACUGUGCCUUUACUAACGGCUUCUAAUGUUCUAUGUGCUUUUCUUGACCUCAUUUGAGCAGUGACUGGCUCCCUUUCCUGCAUAAUAACAGCUCAUUCAGAUGCCAUCAGCAAUGACAGAGAAUUAUUUUGCUUUAAUCAUUUAAUUGGUAUUCAAGUCAUACACAAAUUAUUAAAAAAAAAAAGGCAAAAUAAAAAAGAAAAUGAGAGAAGAAAGGACAACCUUCCUCCCUCGUUGGCCAUAAAAAAAAAAAUACUGUAGUGACCUCAAAGAGGAGUAAAUUUAACAAAUUGGAUGCCUGAUCUGUUAAAUGAAAAAUCUAAAGAGAAGAAACACCACUGGAAUGGUAUGGUAGACCAAAGAUCUCUGAAAUGAUGUAGAUUUAUAUUUUUGAGGCUUAAAUCAACCCCAUCUCAAAAUGAAAGCCUCCUUUAGAUCAUCACUUGAAUUCGUUUGAAAUAACCUUACCAGAAAAACCUAUGUCUAAAUGAAUCAUAUAAGUCUAAAUGAUCAUACUAAAUUCAUUUGCUGUAGACACAGCUGUUUCUGGCAGUGAAAGCUCAGACCAGUACAGGUCUCCAACAUGAUUUAGUGAAGUCAUUUAACACAGCAUGAACAUGCUUGUUUCAUACCUUGUGCACAGGGUUUAUAACUUAAUGUUAGAUGAUUAUAUGAUUAAGAACUACUUAUCUCUGUGGCAUUUUAGUCUUCUGUUUUCCUAUCAUACAAUUAGAGGGUUUAACUUUUCAUCAUGCUGAGGUUUCUUUUUUUCUUUUUUUACUUCUCUUCCUAACAAUAAUCCAAACUCUGUUCUACAGGCAGAAGAAAUGAAAAAAGACAAUGUAUUCUGUGUCAUCCCUUUAGAAUACUUGGAAUAAAAAGAUAGGGGGCUCAUUUUCAGACACCACCAAUAGAGUCACAGGUCAUCUAAACGCUUACAGAUUAAACAAGGUUAAAAGGAAACUUGAACCGAGAAACUGCUUGUCAGAAAAGACAGUGGGGUCAGGUGCCAGAUGUAAUAAAUAUUCUGAUUUGCAGCCCAUGGAGUCUUUGCUAAUGCAUGGGUAAUUGCAACUCUUUGGUUUCAUUCUGAUGCUUAAUACAAAUCCCAUCCCUCCAGCCCAUCGUCUAUACUCUCAUAGCCGAUCUCUUAUCAGAGUGUAAAACAGGCCCUGCAUCCUGUGAGCAAUGUAAAGUCCUCUCAGCUGCUGAAUAUGUGACUUCACACAACCAACAAGGGAAAAGGCUGCUACAUUGUCAUCUCCUCAAAGCAUUAGUCACGUGCAAAUUCAGUGUAUUAACAAAGGACUCUCCUAAGGCAAAACUUUGGCGCAUCAGUUGCAGGAAAAUAUAAUUUCAGCAAAAGGUACAAAAUUGCUGAAGAGUUUAGAGACACAUAAUAGCCUUGUAAAUUUUCAAAAUGAAUAAGAAAUGUUUUUCUGUACCUCCCACACAGUGUUUUGUAAAUGGAUUGUUGAACAUCUCUGAAUUCUGCAUUUUGCACAAGUUAAAUAGAAUCCUCCCAUAACAAAGACAGUUGAGAAACUGCAGUAGGCAGAAGUAACACUGAAAAUCUGAACUAAUAGUCAUGUUGAUAACUCUAAGAGAAAUGGGAGAAAAAUCUGAUUAGAUUAUGUCUAGGUUAGUGUCCUGGUUUCAGCUGGGACAGGGUUGAUUUUUUUCAUAGUGUCUGUUAUGAUGCUGUUUUUUUUGGUUUUAGGAGAAAAAUAAUGUUGAUAACACCCUGAUGUUUUACUUGUUGCUGAACAGUGCUGUACAGAGCCAAGGAUGCUUCAGCUUCUCACACUGUCCUGCCAGCGACAGGGGCUGAGGGGCACAAGCAGCUGGGAGGGGACAAAACCAGGACAGCUGAUCUAAACUUGCCAAAGGGAUAUUCCAUACCACAUAACAUCAUGUGAAAAAAAAACUAUGAAAUCGAGGGGAGUUGGCUGAGGAAUGGCUGCUGUUCAGGGCCUGGUUGGGUAUUGGUUGGUGGGUGGUGAGCAACGUGCUGUGUAUCCCUUGUUUUGUAAAUCUGUAAUUAUCGUGACUAUUAUUUUUCUCUUCCUUUUCUGUCAUAGUAGAUAGUUGUUUUUUUUAUCUCAACCUACGAGUUUUACUUCUUUUUUCACUUACAGUUCUCUCCCACAUCCCUCAGUGUGGAGGGCGAUGGUAGAAUGGCUAAGUGGUUCUGAGCUGCUUCCAGGUUAAACCACAGCACUUCUAUUUGAAAUUGUCUUCCUACUUUAAGUAAUGUUCCUAGUUUAAGUAAUGUUCCUACUGGUAACAUAACCAGUGAAAUUGUUCCAUAUCAAAGAUAAAUAUAUAUUUAUAUAUAUAUAUAAUUCUACAUAACCUGUUAAUUUUUUGUUGUUGUUGUUUUAAUGAAUAAACAUUUUGGUCUAUAUAUUUGUCAAAGUUUUCUCCUGGCUUUACGAGUCUAACACAUGCAAUCUAUCGGUCACUGAGAGCUCAUUUGCUGCAGUAACGUUCUUUGACUGCUACAAAGAGGGGAGAGGGGGGGGGAUGGACCAGCAAUUUUUUGAAAUGUUAUUCCAUGGCAAAUUUGGCCAAAGAAUAUGCUGUACUUAAACCAUGACUGCAGGAUAGCAUACACAUACCUCAUUGCUUGCAGCAGUUUUUUCAUUUGGCCCUCACUCAUUUUCU
ensembl:lncRNA